GAUGAACGCUGGCGGCGUGCCUAAUACAUGCAAGUCGAGCGAACAGACGAGGAGCUUGCUCCUCUGACGUUAGCGGCGGACGGGUGAGUAACACGUGGAUAACCUACCUAUAAGACUGGGAUAACUUCGGGAAACCGGAGCUAAUACCGGAUAAUAUAUUGAACCGCAUGGUUCAAUAGUGAAAGACGGUUUUGCUAUCACUUAUAGAUGGAUCCGCGCCGCAUUAGCUAGUUGGUAAGGUAACGGCUUACCAAGGCAACGAUGCGUAGCCGACCUGAGAGGGUGAUCGGCAACACUGGAACUGAGACACGGUCCAGACUCCUACGGGAGGCAGCAGUAGGGAAUCUUCCGCAAUGGGCGAAAGCUUGACGGAGCAACGCCGCGUGAGUGAUGAAGGUCUUCGGAUCGUAAAACUCUGUUAUUAGGGAAGAACAAAUGUGUAAGUAACUAUGCACGUCUUGACGGUACCUAAUCAGAAAGCCACGGCUAACUACGUG
rnacentral:rRNA from 1 species